rnacentral:rRNA from 1 species
UAGGGAAUCUUCGGCAAUGGACGGAAGUCUGACCGAGCAACGCCGCGUGAGUGAAGAAGGUUUUCGGAUCGUAAAGCUCUGUUGUUAGAGAAGAACGUUGGUAGGAGUGGAAAAUCUACCAAGUGACGGUAACUAACCAGAAAGGGACGGCUAACUACGUGCCAGCAGCCGCGGUAAUACGUAGGUCCCGAGCUUUGUCCGGAUUUAUUGGGCGUAAAGCGAGCGCAGGCGGUUCUUUAAGUCUGAAGUUAAAGGCAGUGGCUUAACCAGUGUACGCUUUGGAAACUGGAGGACUUGAGUGCAGAAGGGGAGAGUGGAAGUCCAUGUGUAGCGGUGAAAUGCGUAGAUAUAUGGAGGAACACCGGUGGCGAAAGCGGCUCUCUGGUCUGUAACUGACGCUGAGGCUCGAAAGCGUGGGGAGCAAACAGG